UACGUAGGGUGCGAGCGUUAAUCGGAAUUACUGGGCGUAAAGCGUGCGCAGGCGGUUCGUUGUGUCGGCGGUGAAAGCCCCGGCUUAACCUGGGAAUGGCCGUCGAAACUGGCGAACUGGAGUGUGGCAGAGGGGGGUGGAAUUCCGCGUGUAGCAGUGAAAUGCGUAGAGAUGCGGAGGAACACCGAUGGACGAAGGCAGCCCCCUGGGCUGACACUGACGCUCAGGCACGAAAGCGUGGGGAGCAAACAGG
rnacentral:rRNA from 1 species